rnacentral:rRNA from 1 species
AAUAGAUACCCCGGUAGUCCACGCCGUAAACGAUGAGUACUAGGUGUAGGAGGGUCCAACCUUCUGUGCCGCAGUUAACACAAUAAGUACUCCGCCUGGGAAGUACGAUCGCAAGAUUAAAACUCAAAGGAAUUGACGGGGGCCCGCACAAGCAGCGGAGCAUGUGGUUUAAUUCGAAGCAACGCGAAGAACCUUACCUGGACUUGACAUCCCCUGAAUUACUCGUAAUGGAGGAAGCCCUUCGGGGCAGGGAGACAGGUGGUGCAUGGUUGUCGUCAGCUCGUGUCGUGAGAUGUUAGGUUAAGUCCUGCAACGAGCGCAACCCUUAUCAUUAGUUGCUACCAUUAAGUUGAGCACUCUAGUGAGACUGCCCGGGUUAACCGGGAGGAAGGUGGGGAUGACGUCAAAUCAUCAUGCCCCUUAUGUCCAGGGCUACACACGUGCUACAAUGGUGAGUACAAUUAGAUGCAAACCCGCGAGGGGGAGCCAAACUAAAAAACUCAUCCCAGUUCGGAUUGUAGGCUGAAACUCGCCUACA